GCCGAAGUAGCACAACUGGUAGUGCAGCUGAAUCGUAAUCAGAAGGUUGGGGGUUCAAGUCCCUUCUUUGGCACCA
rnacentral:tRNA from 1 species